UCAUGAUUCAUAUUCAGAACAAUUCAAUAAAGUAUUUAAUUCGAUAGCAAAUCAAUAAGUAUCGCGGCUAACAUCGCAUCUUGUGGAUUUUUCGUUUUGCGCCUAACAGCUCUAUUUCUUAUGUUUUGUGUCAAAACAAACUUAUUCAGGCCUAAGAACCAAAAAUUCUGCAUGUUUGGAAAUUCAGAAGAGCGGCACAAGGUAGUUCGUUGUUUGUUUUAUAUUCAUUGCUUUCGUAAACUUUAUUACACGUCCUUUAUUCCGUUUACUUGCAGGGCAAUGGAAGAAAUGUGCAGAGUUUGCAAGGGAUCGUCUGAAUCAUUCACAAACAUAUUCGACGAGAAACAAAACUGGGACACUUGCAUUGCUGACAUGAUAGCUCAGUGCACCGGGUACGAGGUUAGCCGAGGAGAUUUACUAUCAGAAAAUAUAUGUCCGCCCUGCCUUGAGGAGGCAGUGAGUGCAUUCAAUCUUAAGACAACUUGCGAGCAGAGCUAUAAAUUGAUGGAGGAGUCUAAAGAAGCAGAAAUCUUUUAUAUUGUGGAAUACGAGGACUGGGAACCAUCAGAUUGCAGAAGCGAGCAGUCAAACAAUAUUGAAACCGACGCACAGGCAAAAGGUUGCCCUAAGUUAAAAUGUCCUCUUUGUCCAAAGAGCUAUUCGCACAGAAGUGGUCUAAAUAGACAUAUGCUUGUACACACGGGUGAACGACCCUAUAAAUGCUCCCAUUGCUUAAAGUCCUUCCAUUUUAGUUUCCAUCUGAGUGAACACAUCCGUUCACACCAGGUGGAUCCACCCUUUAUAUGUACAUACUGCUCAAAGUCAUAUGAACAUUCCAAUUCUCUUAGAAAACACAUAAAAAUGUCUCACGCGUAGAAUGAUAGUUACAAAACAAAAACCUAUAUACACACAUAAGUAUAAGUAAAUGUAUUUUCCUAUUCAAUCUCAGCAUGAGUUCACUUUCGUGAGCCAGCUGAAGAACGACUCUUCUAAGUGGCUCUACUUCUUUUCCUCCCAAGUUUACUCUAGCUGUCCUUUUUUCUUUGGGUAUAAAUUAAAUAAUCUAGCAUCUAAGAUUAAAAAUAACUAUAUCUGCUAAAAUACAAAUAAAAAAGAAAAGUUAAUAAAUAAGUAUUAUUUAUUCUUUUUUGUUUGGUAUUUAAUCCCUACACCGAGAUUUUAUGGUAGCACGACGAUGAGUCCGCAUUGACCAGAUACUUCAUUUCGAUGAUAGGGCUGUCGAUAUGUUUUUGACUAUCGAUGGUGGUUCAUGACGCCAUGCAUGGUGUUGCAUUGGAAUGUUCUUAUAACUUAAAAAAUAUGAUGCUCAGUUUAAAGUGUGGUCGUGUGUAAGAGAUUAUUUUAUUUAUUCAGAACAAUUCAAUAAAGCAUUUAAUUCGAUAGCAAAUAAAUAAGAAUCGCGGCUACCAUCGCAUCUUGUGGAUUUCUCGUUUUGCGCCUAACAGCUCUAUUUCUUAUGUUUUGUGUCAAAACAAACUAAUUCAGGCCUAAGAACCAUAAAUUCUGCAUGUUUGGAAAUUCAGAAGAGCGGCACAAGGUAGUUCGUUGUUUGUUUUAUAUUCAUUGCUUUCGUAAACUUUAUUACACGUCCUUUAUUCCGUUUACUUGCAGGGCAAUGGAAGAAAUGUGCAGAGUUUGCAAGGGAUCGUCUGAAUCAUUCACAAACAUAUUCGACGAGCCACAAAACUGGGACACUUGCAUUGCUGACAUGAUAGCUCAGUGCACCGGGUACGAGGUUAGCCGAGGAGAUUUACUAUCAGAAAAUAUAUGUCCGCCCUGCCUUGAGGAGGCAGUGAGUGCAUUCAAUCUUAAGACAACUUGCGAGCAGAGCUAUAAAUUGAUGGAGGAGUCUAAAGAAGCAGAAAUAUUUUAUAUUGUGGAAUACGAGGACUGGGAACCAUCAGAUUGCAGAAGCGAGCAGUCUAACAAUAUUGAAACCGACGCACAGGCAAAAGGUUGCCCUAAGUUCAAAUGUCCUCUUUGUCCAAGGAGCGUUGCGCAGAGAAGUCUAAAGAAACAUAUUGAACUACACACGGGUGGACGACCCUAUAAAUGCUACAAGUGCUCACAGUCCUUCCACUUUAGUUACCAUCUGAGUGAACACAUGAGUAUACACUCGGUGGAUCCACCCUUUAAAUGUACAUACUGCUCAAAGGCAUAUGAACAUUCCAAUUCUCUUAGAAAACACAUAAAAAAGGCUCACGAGUAGAAUGAUAGUUACAAAACAAAAACCUAUAUACACACAUAAGUAUAAGUAAAUGUAUUUUCCUAUUCAAUCUCAGCAUGAGUUCACUUUCGUGAGCCAGCUGAAGAACGACUCUUCUAAGUGGCUCUACUUCUUUUUCUCCCAAGUUUACUCCAGAUAGUCCUUAUUUCUUUGGGUAUAAAAUAUAUAAUCUAGCAUCUAAGAUAAAAAAUAACUAUAGCUGCUAAAAUAAAAAUCCUGCGGUAGAAAAGGUUAAUAACUAACUCGCAUCUUGUGGAUUUUUCAUUUUGCGU
rnacentral:lncRNA from 1 species